CCCUUAGAUGUUCUGGGCGGCCCGCGCACUACAAUGGCGUGUGCAGCGAGUGCCGAAGUAGAGUUUUCCGAGGUAUUCUUGCAAUGCUCGUUUUGAUGGGGAUAGACCCUUGCAACUGUUGAUUUUGAACGAGGAAUUCCUUGUAAGCAUGGUUUAUCAUCCGACGCUGAAUGCGUCCCUGCCCUUUGUACACACCGCCCGUCGCUCCUACCGAUGAGUCGUCCGGUGAAGUUCGUAGACCUCGUGAUCGCGGAUCACUGGGGGAAGCAAAAUGAACCUCGCGGUUUAGAGGAAGGAGAAGUCGUAACA
rnacentral:rRNA from 1 species